GUGCUUGCUUUGGCAGCACAUAUACUAAAAUUGGAACGAUACAGAGAAGAUUAGCAUGGCCCAUGCACAAGGAUGACAUGCAAAUUCGUGAAGCAUUCCAUAUUUUU
rnacentral:snRNA from 1 species